rnacentral:misc_RNA from 1 species
GAUGAAGAACGUAGCAAAAUGCGAUAAGUAAUGUGAAUUGCAGAAUUCAGUGAAUCAUCGAAUCUUUGAACGCACAUUGCGCCCGCGGGUAUUCCGGCGGGCAUGCCUGUUCGAGCGUCAUUUCAACCCUCAAGCCCCCGGGUUUGGUGUUGGGGAUCGGCUCUGCCCUUCUGGGCGGUGCCGCCCCCGAAAUACAUUGGCGGUCUCGCUGCAGCCUCCAUUGCGUAGUAGCUAACACCUCGCAACUGGAACGCGGCGCGGCCAUGCCGUAAAACCCCAACUUCUGAAUGUUGACCUCGGAUCAGGUAGGAAUACCCGCUGAACUUAAGCAUAUCAAUAAGCGGAGGA